AGGUACGACAGACGGUUUUAAAACACAAAGUUUAUUGGUAUAUCUGGCCAAAGACAAUAAAACCGGUGACAAAUGGACGACCACAAAUUUAUCAUCCCAAGAAGUAAUAGUUUACUUAAGCUUGUUCACAUAUCAUGACGAACAAGGCUUCCUUGGAGAUGGUCUGCUUAACCCCGAUGAAUUAAAAAGUUGCAUGGCAGCUUUAAGAUUAAGUGAUGACGACCAAAGAUUUAUAGCGUGGAUUUUUAAAGGUGACGAAACGGUUAAUUUCUCGGAGUUCUUAUUCGGCAUUUUAGCAGCAAAAGAAAAAGGCAUAGAAGGAUUCAACCGAGGGCUAAACAUGUACCAGAUUGAUUACUUGAGCAGUUUUAUACAACAGAAGACAAAUGACGAUUACAUUCCAACUCGUAUAAUAACACAGAUCGUCCAAGGGUUACCAAUAAUUAAAGGCCAGCAUAAGGAAUGGAACU